AAGGGAGAAGGGCGGUCCCUCUUUGGGUUUACGGUGGCGUAUGACUCCAGCGUGUCGUCCGAAAGGUCCCACUUGGUCUGGAUGAGUUAGAUGACAGAUGAGGUCGUAGCAAAGACGUAAUUAUCCACUGAGGAGUCCAAACAAUGGGAGUUCUGCUGAAUAAAGACUCGAGACUACUCGGUCAUUGGACAGUAUUGACCACAUCCACCGGCACAGCCAAUGUUGAUAAUAAUAACAAGAUGAGAUGACGGAGUUUUCAUCCCAAAACCGUCAGAGCCCAGAUGUGACUAUUCGUUGCGCCAAUGUUAGAAGUAAUAAAAUUAGGAAUAGAUGCCGUUGGUUGCAUAACGCUGUCUUAGACCUGCAAGCCACUCUUAACUUGCUGCAAUAACAAUAGCAGUCCGGUAUGCCGUUGCUAAGCAACAAAGCUGCUCAACACAUGGGUUGCUGCUCCAACAAACAGCAGCAACAGAUACAUAUUCUGCCUUUUUCUUAUUUUCCCUUAAUUGUUCGACUUCGAAAAGGAAGAAAAAAAAUUCCCUUCAGUAAGCAUGAGUGAAAAGUGAGACGACACAACACUCAAUAGUUUUUUGAACGUAUUGCCAGCAUGGAGGCUGCACUUGAAAUGAAGCUGACAAUAUUCCAGAAUAUUUUUGAAAUGCAAAUCCCCUACCAAAAAAUCAAAAACCAAACAAACCCAAUAUAACGGUAUGGAUCCUCUAACGAGAGAAGCAGGAGUGACAUCCUUUUGCUGUGGCAGUAUGGCAAGAGAGGAGGUAGAAAAAGAUCUAACUCAAGUAAGUACAGUUUGCUGUGACGAAGACAGUAUGGACUCCACAGCUCCUCAAGCAGAUCUCCAUUAGUAGAUGCUGUGUAGUGGCCUGCAGAUCCUUUAGCUGGAAGACAGCUCCUUUAAAUGGAAAGUCAUUUGAUUCUCAACAACACAGGCUAAAUGGACGCAUCUGUGAGUCAGUGAAUAGGCUUGUGUUAUCGGGAGCGAUUGUUCUGGUCAGCAACUGGGGCGAGGCAAAGCAAAAGAAGAGAGAGAGAAAAAAAAGCAUGAAAACACACAGUGUUUCCAGGCCACUGCCAGUCUUGUUGUCAAUGUCUCUUUGUGAUGCUAACAGCUAAUGGCUAGCAGUUAGCAGGUCAUCUUUGUUGCAAUCCGUUUGCUGGUUGGAGGUAGCGUGCUGCAAAAAUAUCAAUCCAGCAGAUGACUGGAGAUGUGGAGGCAGAGGUUGUGGGUCAAAGCAUUGAGACAGAAUGAAAAACUGAAGGCGACGAGAAGAGGCUCCGCUCCAUACAGGCAUUUAUGUUGGUGAGGAAGAACAGAAUGUAAAUUAGAAAAAAAAAAGAAAAAUAAUUUAAAAAAGCUUUA